ensembl:lncRNA
CAAUAGAUGCUACACUCUUGUGGCGUGGUAUGAAAGUCACAGAAAGGGUUAUGAUUAGACCUGCCCAAGCUUUUGGGCCAUGUAAUACCCAGCAGGGCAGCAGUGUCAGGUUUACUCAGAUGAUAGCAAAGCUGAAUGAAGAGGGAGACUGAAUGACUCAGAAUUAAAAGCCAUAUUGGCACCUGUGCUGGCAAUAUUGGGUAUUGCAAUUCCUGGCCCUUUCUCUCUGCUGGACUAUGUUACUCAUCUUGUGUUCCCUCUUGGUUCCUAUCUGCCUGUUGUUGCGUAUGCUUUAAAUAGAAUUAAAUAAGUCACUUUAUUGCACUACUGUUAACCCAAUAUGUUGAUAGCUAGUGUUUUCCAGAAAUCAUCUCUUUCUUUGGACAGAGCAUGUCUUACUAGACACCUUUCAGAGGGCUCAGCCUCUUCUGCACAGAUCUUCAUCCCAGAAUUUUGGGGAUAUAAAUCUGCAGUUAUGUGCAUCUUACUAAUGACAUUUCUCCAUUGAGAAAAAGUUGUAUUUGCCUGAGUUCAAGCUUUUUAUUAGUCUGACCUUAACUCCCCUAUUUCCAGUACCAAGUGCAACUUUCCUCUGAAAAGCCAAAGGAAACAUUUCCAUGGAGCAUAUGGAGAAAAUCCUGCAUAGAUCUCCUUUAGCUUGUUUGCCUCUGAAGUGCACACAAGGAAACAUGUCAGGAAUUAAGUCGAAACAGGUAAUGUACAGUGGAAACCUCCUCUCAUAAAUUAGCUUUUAUUCCUCCUAUCUCAAAAGAAGGAAAGCCAUGUGUGAUUGGUUUUACCACAUCCACUGUUGUCUUCUCAGUUUUUAGGAUGUUGUGAGGAGUACAGAAAGCAAACACUCAGGCAGCACAAAGGUCAGGGUGUCAGUUUGGAUAGGAGGGAGGAAUUGGACUGUGUUGGCAGUAUUUUGGGGUUUUUUUGGAGAAAAUACAACUUUCAGUCCAGAAAGCAGGUUUCUCUGUAGCUAAGUUGAGCCCUUGUUCCUGAAGUAGAAUACUGAAGACGUAAGUGAAGGUUGGUUUCUUCAUUCAUUUAUUAAAUAAGCAAUAAAUAACACUUUAUCUAUUUCACAACGUGACCAGUCCCAUUUCCACACACUUCUGAUGUGAUCUGUGUUAACAGAACACGAGCUUCCAGACAAGCAAGCACAGAGUGUCUGCCUUGCUGGAUUCCUUCUUUAGCCUGUGAAACAGCAUAUGUUUGUUUUGGCUGUCUGAAUGUGGUAUUUUUUGCUCACUGGAAAAGCUGACAGUGUUUCAGUCUCUGCACUAUUUUUUCUUGUUUUGUGUUUAACUUUUCACCUUCCACUUUCUUUCAUAGACUAGCAGAAAUCACCUAGAAAUCAUCAGGAAAAGGUGGUAUAUUCCUGGAGGGGGAUGAGAGGCUGGGGUGUCCAUUGCUUUUUCCUGAGUUUACCCGUAGAUUUAUUCCCAUCAGCCUGUAGAAGUUGGCUAGAUUUUUAUGUUCUUUGGUUUUCUCACUUCCUGUGUUUUGCAGAGCAUAACCCAAGUGCCUCCUGCACUAGACUCCCUUUUGAACUGAAUUUAACAUAGAUAUGGAGUAGACAACAACAUUCUGUUCUAAACAGAAGUCGAGUGACGUCAAUUAAGGAGUUUAUUGCCACUAUACCUUGUUAAGCCUUUGUGGCAAGCAAGAUAGAGUUUGUGUCCUGCAGAAUGGAUUGGUCUUAUCCACCUAAAACAAUCUCCUGCACUAUGUCAGCAAUGCUGUGGUCAACACAAGUGAAGUUAAAAAAAGCUGAAUACACUGAACUGUGUAAAUAAAGUACCCUUCCAAUUGGGAAUGCAGUCCUCCAUAUGAAAAAGUGUGGCAGAAUCUUAGAUUUAUUAAGGAAUAGAAGAAAGCUGAUUAAAGAAUGGUCCCCAAUCUGAAGUUAUGAACUGAUUUUCUAAAACAGAGUCCCUGCUUGAGUAACUGAAUGAACUGUCUGGAUUUGGAAAUAAGAGAAAGUGCUGCAUGUAUAAUUUUAAAAUAAACAGAGCCAAGGCCUGGAGGUGUGAAAGCAGCACUGGGAAACAACUUAAACAUCAAAGAAGGAUUUUUUGGAUGUUUAACUGUUUGAAAACUGGACUCGCAUAUUUUAUUUUAGCAGGAAAAAGGCCCUGUUAAAUUAUUUCAUAGACUGCCUUUGAUCAAAGUUUUGAAAUGGUGUCAAAAUCAUUGAUCAUUGAUCCCCGUUGGGAUUGGGGAGGUAAUGUUUCUUUUUAAAUAAAAAUUUAUCUUUUUGACCUACAGAAGGUUUAUUCCUUUUAGCAUCAUACUUGAAGUUUGAUCACCUUGUUAUUCCAAGAAUGAGAAAGUGCUGAAGCCAGUGUAAAUGAUGUAACAACACAGCCCACAAGAGGCCAGUAUGUAUUUAAGUUUUGAGCUAUUCAAAUCCAUAUUUGUCCAGUGUAAGAGGACACAGCAUCUUCCUAGGAAUGCAACAAGCUACACAACUUUAUGUGAGCUGAGGGACACAGAAAGGUCAAUAAUGGUUGUGAAAGCUCCUGUGGUAGGAAUGACCAGGACCUUAUCAGCUGAGAUAAAAAGGUAGUAUUUACAUAAACAUAUACUGUCAAGAAUGUCAUAAUACUUUGUGUUCUGUGGCUGUGGUCAGGCAGGGUGGAAAUUGGCUGUGUGAGUCCAAUACCUUUAAGCUCACAUCUGCUUUGUUUUUCUUUUUCUUUUCCUUCCCUUACAAAGAAAGGAACUUUGUAAAGUAUCACUCCAAAGUGUAAUCAGAUUUUGCCUUCAAAAAAUCUGUAGCCAAGGAUGAAAAUUUUGAUCAGGCAAUAGAAAUCUAAGUGAAGGGAAUUGCAUUUUUGAGGUGAAAGGAGGAACUGUAAAGGUUUGGAUAACGUUUAAGCCCUGUCACUGUAGCUUUUGUAGGAUUUGAAAACCCAAAUCUGAAGGCCUGCAGAGCAGUGGACCAGUGAGCCAAGCAGCAUCCUGUAUCCCUUCUCAUUUUAGCACUGGGUGCUGCUGCUGUGGAUUUGCCUCACAAUGGCUGAGGGGCAAAACCACAGCAUUCUUUUCAAGGGCCUCUGGGGACAGGGUAAUAUCUCUUAUUCUCCUUACCAGCCCAAAUCAGUGCUGUCCCCAACACCCAUGGUCAUUGGUACGUACACAGGAGUGAAGGGGUGAGAGAGGGAGGCAAAGAGGAUGGGAACACCUUUGGGCAGACCAGGCAUAAGGAGACAGAAAAUUUGUGUAUCAUACAGGCAGCCUGGAGGCAAAAGCCAGCUCAGCAUGGAGAUCAGGGUAUAUAUAUUCUGUUAAGGAAAAGGCUCUCUUUGGGGGGAUGCCCAAAACAGAACACUCUGUAAUUCCUGCUGGCAACAAAGCAAACUCUCAAGGUCAUAUGGUCUUAACAUUGUCUUUCCUGUGGGCUCUAUCUUCUAGGUGGCCAUGCAUAAUCUUAACUUUAUCAUUUGUGCCCCCAAAUCUUGGGAAGGCUUUUGGGUUGAUUUUCUUCUGCCCCAAGAUCUUUCAGCAACAUAAAUGACUGUGUCAGAGGCUACAAUUCCUUCUGUCUUGUCACAGAACAAUUUUUAAAACAAGAGAGCUGCAGUUUGUAGAUGACUAAUACUCAUCCCUCAAGGACCACAAUCAAAUAGCCCAGUUUCCCCAAACUGCCUUUCACACAUGGACCAAUCUUGGAUUAUCUUGGCUUCAAGCAGCCUUCUUACUGUCUUGUCACAGCAGUGGGGACAAUGACACAGCUCCCAGCCAAACCCACUGGGAGCAGGUAGUACACAUGCUCUUGUGGAAUUCACAAAUCCCUCUGUAUGUGAUGUACUAUGGGGAGCUGGGGAGGUCCUUGAUUAGAAAGAAGCGUAGUGAAAUAGUCUAAAUGAACUAAGAUGGAAUAACUCAAGCUGGUAUUCAAGUUUCUUUUGAUAUUCCUGGUGUAAAAUGGAGACAUUUUGCUGCUAACCACAGAAAAAUAACCUGCUUCAGAGUGGUGUUCUCAGGGAGCUUUAGAAAUUAGUUUUCAAGGACAGCUCCUUACUGGGCAGUUUUUGGGGAAAAAUCCAAACCAGUUUUACUUGACUUAAAAACUAGUUAAUACUAAAAUAAACCAAAUGGCUUCAUUCUGAUAGAAAAAUUUUUCUCUUUGAAGCUCUCUGCAAUUAAGCAUCAAAGCAGAAGGAUUUAUCCUAAAUUAUGGCCAUUUACCUAGACAUAGGGCAUGAGCAGCACUGAAGAGUUUAAUGCAGCUUGUGCUGAACCAGGUUCUAAUGGGCUUUUUUGAUACAUCCAGCUGUGAAGCCUUCUUGAAUGACAUCUGAUAUCGAGCACCUUACAGCACUCCUGCACAGCAAGGCAGCCCCAUUUUCUCAUUGUCUAGGUGACAAGAUAUCUGCAGAGAGAGCAAAUUACUUGCCCAGAAUCCUGCAGAAAAUCAGCAAAGAAGUGAGGAGAUGAUCAGCAGCCUCCUACAGACAACUAGAAUUCUUCCUGCAGCACAAACCUUUCUCUCUCAGGAGUUUUAGGUGAUGAGCAGUUCUCUGUGUAGCUUUGUGGUUUGGGAUUUCUUUUUGUAUCCUUUCUUUGCCAUUCCCGGUAAAUAAAUCCUGAAAACAGUACUUUGCUUUUCACUUAAUUAACAUGUUUUUUCCCCAACCAAAUAAGUGUUUUUCAGGAAGUCUUCUGCCUUGUUGGAACCUUGUAGCGUGCUGAUGUGCACUUUUGAGAUCGUUGCUGGAGAAAGCCUUCCUGAAUUUGUGGGAAAACCUUGUCCACUGAAAAAACCCAAGGGUGUGCUCCCUAAAUCCUGACAGAACUGGAGCCACUAAAAGUGAAAAACAGACAUCAGUGCUUGGAAUCUCCCUGGUAAAGAAAGUGCAAAGCUUCACUUAGAAGUUCAAUGAGAAGGAGUCAAAGUGGGAUGUUAAGUAUGAAUGAUGAUUUACCUGAUGAUGGACUGGCCCACACUGUGAAAAUGAAGGGUGUUCAACCCAGUUACUUAAAAGGCUGCAGUGUUAAGACUGGAAGUCUAGUGCAGAACACUCUGCUCUUCAUUGAUCGUAAGUGGUGGAAAGUAAACAUCUUUGCACAGUGGGUGGAUCACAUGUGAGACAGCAAGGUUUGACCUACAAAAUGCAUAAAGCAAAAACAUAAAACCCCUGAGCUUGGGCUGACAAAAUUGGAAUCCACAGUCUCGUAAAGCUAGUGUGACAGGCAAGCAGAGGAGCAUGAAGACCUAUUUUUCAAACUGGAAGUAAAGCCCCAAGUCUGGAAUCUCUCUUGCACAGGAGCCCAUGUUAUAUCCUGCAAAGACAAUGACACCUGUUUUGAUUUAUAAUGUACUUUUCUUACCCAUCCCUUCCCAUGUCCCAGGGAUUCCAAUUCAGUUUAUCAGCAAUCUCAAGAACACCCAAGUGAAGAGGAAGGGAAAAGCCUGCCUGGAGUGUGUGUUAACUCCUGAAGGUGUCUCCCUGAAGGGGAUGAAAAAUGGAUAAGUGAUAGAGACGUCUCCUGAGUACACCAGGAGUGACCCAUGGGACUUGGACUUGAUUGCAGUCUGCUGAAGACCAGCAUCACAACAGGAGGCUGAUUCUCCAAUUAUUGAAGAACCUGUCCUCAAGAUUUUUGCUACACACAGUGUCACUGUGAAGAACCAAGCACACUGCAAGCAUCGAGGUCCCCUUGGCAAAACCAAGGCUCGAAGUCACAUCAAGGACAGUAUGGAGGAGACAGAGGAAGAAAACAUGGUGUUGGAGAAAGCCAGUUUGGCAUCCUGAAAUGGGACCAGCUCUGUAUUCACAUCUGCAAGCUGUGGACUCUGCUGCUGUCACACAGCCUUCAGAACUGCUGAAGGUGGUGGAUUUUUCAACUCCAGCUUCGGCUUAGCCUGGCAGCGAACCAGACCAUGGAGAUGCUCUGUCAGGAUACACAUUAAAGACAUGAGUUGAAGACACCAAAAAGCAGAAAAAAAUGCACUAAGAUCCCUAUCUCUAGUACCACUCACAGACAAAUAUUACUUCUAAAUCUAAGCCAAGAGUGAAGCUGGUAUGGGAGAAGCAGCAUUGUUAGAGGAAGGAAUUUAGCAAUGUCACCUUCAGGUAAGACCUGCAGUAUCUAUCUAGCUGGAACUCCUAUCUGUAAGUUGUUAGUUUCUUUUGUUUUUAAUAUAUACUACAUUUUGUAAAGCUUUAUCAGAUUAAUCUUCCACCAAAAAAAAAAAAAAAAAA